GGAAGGAUAAAUUUUUUUCUUUUUUUUUAAAACCAUAUAAAUACAAAAAUAAAAAUAUGCAAUAACUUUUUUAAAAUAAAAUUAUAAAAAUACUAAAAUAUAUCUAUUAUAUUUUAAUUAAUAUUAUAAAAUUUUAAAAUAAAAAUAUUUUGUAUAAUUUUAUAAAUUUAAAACUAUAACUUUGAAAAUAUAAUUUACAUAUUUAUUAUAAUAUUAUGAUUUUUGAUAUUUU
rnacentral:lncRNA from 1 species